rnacentral:rRNA from 1 species
UACGGCGGUCAUGGCGGAGGGGAAACGCCCGGUUACAUUCCGAACCCGGAAGCUAGGCCCUCCCGCGCAGCUGGUUGCGCCCGCGGUGGCGG